CUUCCGUAAGGGUGACCUGCGGAAGGAUCAUUACCUAGAGUUGUAGGCUUUGCCUGCUAUCUCUUACCCAUGUCUUUUGAGUACCUUACGUUUCCUCGGUGGGUUCGCCCACCGAUUGGACAAAUUUAAACCCUUUGCAGUUGAAAUCAGCGUCUGAAAAAACUUAAUAGUUACAACUUUCAACAACGGAUCUCUUGGUUCUGGCAUCGAUGAAGAACGCAGCGAAAUGCGAUAAGUAGUGUGAAUUGCAGAAUUCAGUGAAUCAUCGAAUCUUUGAACGCACAUUGCGCCCCUUGGUAUUCCAUGGGGCAUGCCUGUUCGAGCGUCAUUUGUACCUUCAAGCUCUGCUUGGUGUUGGGUGUUUGUCUCCUGUAGACUCGCCUUAAAACAAUUGGCAGCCGGCGUAUUGAUUUCGGAGCGCAGUACAUCUCGCGCUUUGCACUCAUAACGACGACAUCCAAAAGUACAUUUUUACACUCUGACCUCGGAUCAGGUAGCUCAUU
rnacentral:rRNA from 1 species